UCGUCUCAAUAAUAGGCAAAUAAAAUCUCAUCAUCUCGCCCUAAUUUGUCAAAUGCAUGCUCUCGAUCUGUUCUCUCUUCUCUUUGUCUAGGGCUCUCUGUCGAAGACUCUAAUGGAGAUCUAAGAUCUUCAGCUUCAAUCGUCUGGGACUUCAAUGGAGAUCUAAGAUCUUCAACUUCAAUCGAUCUCAUUUUCAUGAUGAAUCUCAUCUUCAUGAUCGAUCUCAUACUCCAACGCAGAUCUAUCCUCUCUCCCCUUCGUUUCCGCACCAGCACCCCUUCUCGCUCAGUGUGCAGGUGUUUGGAUCUGUGAACUGGAAGAGAAGAUGAAUUCUUAAUUUAACAAUACUUUCACAUAACUGGGUUCCUAUUUUCCCUUUGCUCGACAUACCACAUGGUUUCUAUUCUGCAUCCUUUAAAAAUAUGAGAGAGACAGAAUUUCUGCUGGAAAAAAAUGGAGAAUUAAGGAUCAGAUGACUGUACCUAACAACUAUAAGAACAUCAAAAUUCCAGCCAAGUAUAUAUUAACAACCUUUAAAUUUUACCCGCAUAUCUCUUGCAAUUGAAGCUAUUAUGUCUGUCCCAUCAACAGCAACAAAUUGGAGUUGACUUUUGAACUGCAAGACAUUGUCAUAUUAGUUAGGCAAAUUCAAAUACGAUU